UUAGAAUUUUGCCUGCCACCCAAGGGGAGAUGUAGAGGAGACAUUCUCUUUCAGAAACUUCCAGGGCUGAAGGAUGGGGCAGAAGGAGGAGGGGAGGAACCCAUCUGGAUCUCUUUAGCCUCUGGAACCUGAAGCACUCAGGAAAGAAGGCCUGGCCCUUUGAAGCUGCCCCUGCCAGGCCCCACAAUGGGCCAGCCCUGCCAGCCCUCCUGCACAGGCCCUGAGGCAUCUUGGCAGCAGCAUCCCCGAGUCUGGCAGUUGGGGAGCCAGUUUUGACCCCCGUGGAGGAAGACAACACUCUGAGCAACAAGAUAGAAGAAACCUAGUCCCUGGACAGCCUCAUAUAGCAGAAAUGUCCUGAACCACCCACCAACCUCCAGAUUGUUACAUGAGAAAGAAACACACUUCUGUCUGGUUACCACCACUGUACUUGGGGGUCCCUUUAUUACAUCAAUGCAGUCUACUCCUGACUAAAACAUUCACUUUCCUUUAUCAAAAUUCAUCUUCAGAUCUUGUCUGGAGCAAGAACGGUCUGGAGCCAAGAUCAGCCUUCAGAGUAGAUUGGAUUUCAUCAUCUCGCUGCCUGUAAGCCAGAUUCAGUCCACAGACAUGCUUUGGUUGGCUCCUAUAGUGCAUUUUUAAAAAUUUGAAUUCAUUGUCAACAUUUACAUGUUGAGAAAUUUCACAUAAAAAUCUAAAGGACUAGCUUUUCUUGAGAAAGCUGAAGGUCUGACCACCCUAGGUCCACAUCUUCCUUGGUGAAAUUCAGCGGAUGCUACAUUGUCCCUUUAGAUGGAGUGAGCGUGCUUCAGCUCACCAUCAUCAGUGCCUAUGGCAAAUGCUAUUGGGUCCUGGGAUCUUGCCAUUUGGAGGUCUGAUGGCCUGACUUCCAAUCCCCAAGGCCUGUAGUCUUUCGCCUGAGGACUUGCCUGCUUGGCACACACGCAUUGUAGACCAGAGACACUGGAAAAAUUAAAGCAUCCUCAGCAACCCCAAUGAAUGACUGGUGGGAGCUGAUGGAGAAAUACCCAUUUCACAGAUGGGCAGCUGAAGGGCACCUUUGACGCUGGCCUCUGGAGUCUGUGUCACAGUUGCCCACAGUGGUUUAACUCACCAUAACUCACACCCUUUAUUGACUGGCUGCCAUUUCCUGGAUCACCUUCCAAAUCAACUGCUUAUAUUCAAAUCCUGCCCUCGAGGAACCUAAGUCUCAGAGCCUGCCCUAGGGAACCUUAAGUCACCAGUCCCUUUGGUUUUCCACCAAAUAUUAGCAUUUAUCAUCAGCUGUGCUGUUAUUUUUUUUUCUUCUGGUAGAGAAAUAUUUAUAUUUCUCAUUUAAAUACAGCAUGUUAGCUGUAUUUAAUAUUUAUUAAAAAUGAAUAGAAAACGAAAAGAUAGACUCAAAGGACAAUGUGCUUCAGGAAAAAAAAAAUAGGUGAGAGUAUAUCUCUUUGUGCAAGUAAAGAAUAUUCCUGCAUAUUUAACAUCCAAAUACUGGUCUGCUGAGUGCGCUGAUGUUAUCGGCCUAACCCGUGGGCAUCUGUGUUUGUGAUUCCUGGUGUUCAGCUCUGAAAGCUCUUGUUAAAACUCAGAAGUCAUUACCCCCUGAUUUUGAAUGAGGUUCUGAGAUUAGCGAGAUGGCCAUCUGGCAGCACGCUGAGAGAAAAAGUGGGAAGACACAUACGUUUCAGUUGGAGGGAGGAAGGACCAAAGGAAAUCUUAUCACUGGGGCCAGGCCAGGGAGCUCAAGGUGGCAUCAGAGGAGGGGGCCUCAAGGGAGGUGAGAGCAGAAACCUGAUCUUUCUGUGAUCUUGUGAAAGUCCCUUCCCCCAUAGUGUCUGCAGGGCUUUGGCGGGUACACACCCUCCAUUAGAGCAUAGCUCUCCUUCUAUUGACACAAUAGAAGGUGCGUCUAUUGUGCGUCUUCUAGGUGCGUCUCUCCUGGCUAUGCAAGAAUACCUGGAGGGCAGAAGCUAUACCUUAUUCUACUUUUUACACCCAAUGGCUGGCAGAGAGCUCGCCACAUAGUAGAUGCCCAAUAAAGGUUUGUCUUGAAUUUUUGCUGGCCAGUGUGACCCUAGAGUGAGCCAAUCAGAAUUACUAUGUAAGCCAGGGGGCGCUGUGGUUCAGUGUUCAUUUCUCAACUGGGGCGCUGAAAAGUUUUUUUUGGCUGUAUGCUGCAGUGAUUAAUAUUGCACUAGCUGGCACCAUGUCACUUAGGAGACAGUGGCAUGGGAUCUUCGAAAAACUAGCUAUCUCUUACCUGGUUUGCAAUCAGCCCAUAUAAGAAUGGGGGCUCUGGAAUCAGCCUGCCUAGGUUCAAAUCCCAAUUUCCUUACUUACUAGCUGUGUGCCCUUGGACAAGUCAUUUAACCUCUCUGUGCCGCCAUUAAAAAAAUGAGAAUCUAAUGAGCUAGUGCAUGUAAAGUAUUUUGCACCAUACCUGCACAGAAAAAGUGCUUAAAGCAUGUUAGCUUUUUUUUUUUUUUUUUCCUGAGACAGGGUCUCACUCUGUCGCCCAGACUGGAGUGCAGUGGUGCAAUCUCGGCUCACUGCAACCUCCACCUCCAAUCAAGCUAUUCUCCUGCCUCAGCCUCCCGAGUAGCUGGGAUUACAGGCACAUGCCACUACCACCUGGCUAAUUUUUGUAUCUUUAGUAGAGACAGGGUUUCACCAUGUUGGCCAGGCUGGUCUUGAACCCCUAAUCUCAAAUGAUCCACCCGCCUCCUAGGCCUCCCAAAGUGCUGGGAUUACAGAUGUGAGCCACCGUGCUCAGCCAGCAUGUUAGCUAUUUUGGCUUUGGUUGGAAACAACAGGAUCCUGAUAAAAAGAAAGCCAGAGUAGAAAAGAAUCUAGAAAGAUAUGCACCAAAAUAUUAAUCAAUUAUAUGACAGUGAUCAUUUUUUAUUGUUUCUUUUCUGCUUAUUUGUGAUUGCUGAUUUGGUUUUCUUUACAAUAAAGUUAUAUGACCUCUAUAAGCUUACUCUAAGAGUAAUAAAGAAGAGAAGGAAAGCUGGACUGCAGUGGGUUUUCUGUGCCAUUCCCCACUAGCACUGCAAGGAAAUUGUAGAAUCUAGGCUCCCCUGAAAACGCCACACAAACCAGCUUUGCCUGUGCCUUCUGGAAUUCCCACACCAAGAAGCUUCCAUUCUGUCUCUGAUAUGGUUUAGCUGUGUCCCCACCCAAAUUCGUCUUGAAUCUUAGCUCCCAUAAUCUCCACAUGUCAUGGGAGGGACAUGGUGGGAGGUAACUGAAUCAUGGGGGUGGCUUUUUCCUCUGCUGUUCUCAAGAUAGUGAAUAAGUCUCAUGAGAUGUGAUGGUUUUAUAAAGGGCAGUUCCCCUGCACACGCUCUCUUGCCUGUCGCCAUGUAAGAUGUGCCUUUGCUCUUCCUUCACUUUCCACCAUGAUUGUGAGGACCCCCCAGCCAUGUGGAACUGUGAGUCCAUUAAACCUCUUUUUCUUUAUAAAUUACCCAGUCUCGGGUAUUUCUUCAUUGCAGCAUGAAAAUGG
rnacentral:lncRNA from 1 species